UAUACUAUACAGUCACUUAUAAAAGAUUUAUAAGAGGAAAGUCCGGACUCGAAGAGAAAAGUGCCAGUUAAGCGCUGGGCAAAAUUUGACGGAAAAGUACAAAAGAAAAAAUACUAUCUAUUUUUUAGAUAAAGGUGAAAUGGUUUGGUAAAAGCAUCCCGCGUGUUUGGAAACAAAUUCGUUAUGUAAACCCCACUUUGAGUAAAACUAAAAAAGAAUUUAAGCUCUAUAAAAAAAAUUCUGGUAAGUUGCAUAUAUAUAUAUAGUAAUAUAUAUAUUAGAUAAAUGACUGUAAAUUUAUAACAGAAUCCGGCUUAUGGUAUAUGAA
rnacentral:RNase_P_RNA from 1 species